AGAAUGAACGCUGGCGGCGUGCUUUACACAUGCAAGUCGAGCGAGGCUACCCGCAAGGGUAAGUCGAGCGGCGAACGGGUGAGUAACGCGUGGAUGACCUGCCCUUGAAUGGGGAAUAACCCGGGGAAACUCGGGCUAAUACCGCAUAUGACCGAGAGGUGAAAGGGGGCUCGCAAGGGCUCUCGUUCGAGGAGGGGUCCGCGUUCGAUUAGCUAGUUGGUAGGGUAAUGGCCUACCAAGGCGACGAUCGAUAGCCGGCCUGAGAGGGUGAUCGGCCACACUGGAACUGAGACACGGUCCAGACUCCUACGGGAGGCAGCAGUGGGGAAUAUUGCGCAAUGGGCGGAAGCCUGACGCAGCCACGCCGCGUGAGCGAUGAAGGUCUUCGGAUCGUAAAGCUCUGUGGGGGAGAAGAAUCGAAGCCGGUGAAGAGCCGGCCCUGACGGUAUCCCUUUAGCAAGCACCGGCCAACUCCGUGCCAGCAGCCGCGGUAA
rnacentral:rRNA from 1 species